CAAACACGGCCGCUCCUUCUCCUCCAACCUCCUUUCAUUUCUCUUCUUUGUACAAGGAAGCAACAACGCCUCUUUCCCUUUCAAUUUCACGAUUAUGGAAAAUACAAUGGAAGAACAGAAAUUUUUCCCGUCUUCCCCUCUAUCGCUCUCGAUGAACAACAAUCAAGACCUCUCUCCCGAUUUCUCUCUCGAUUUCUAUUCCUCUCUCGAUCGAUUCCUCUCCGCGUAGACAACAACAAAACCCUCUUUCUUGUUUUCUAUCUCUCUCGCGAUCGGCCCUCUCUUUCGUGAGCUUUCUAUCUCUCGCGUUUUGCUUGCGGCCAUGGAAGGAGCUUUGAAAGCUCAUGUCAACAAGAACAAAUUUUCACUUGCAAACAGGGAUGGAUAUCGGGACAAUACACAAGGACAAAAUAUUUGCAGCAACUAUUAACAGUAAUAUUGAGAGUACUCUCAAGAAAACUUUCUGUUGCUUCCUUGUACUCUCAAGGAGAAAGAUCAGGCAGAGUCAGAACAACCGAAAUCACAUUCUGCUUUCUCUUUUCCCGAAAUCGCAAGGCGUCUUCUCGCCGAUCGUCUUCUAGCAGAAGCAGAAGCAUCAGAAGAGGCUAAUCCGAAAUCCCCUUUCUGCUCCAGCAAGCACAAGGUUCCUUUAUUAUCUCUUGAAGCUUUGCAUCAUCUACACAUCUUCAUUUUAUUUAAGUUUUUGAAGAGGGCUUGUUGUUUUGAUCAAUAUCAAAAUGGCAUGGAAGGGCAAUGUAAGAAACUUCUGAAUUGUGUGUUGUCUAUGAUUCUCAUUGUUUUUUGUUUUGAAUUGUGUGUUGUUUUGAAUUAAGUGUUUUGUUUUGUUUUUCUGGUUUCUUGUUCUUACAAGUUGUAGCAUGUAAGAAACAUGAAGUGGAAUUGAUACUCUUU